UCACCUGGAGACCUUGUUAAAGUGCAGUAGGACUGGCGUGGAUCCCAAGAAUCUACAUUUCUAACAAGUUCCCAGGUGAUGCUA
rnacentral:miRNA from 1 species